UGCCUACGGGGGGCUGCAGUGGGGAAUAUUGGACAAUGGGCGCAAGCCUGAUCCAGCCAUGCCGCGUGAGUGAUGAAGGCCCUAGGGUUGUAAAGCUCUUUUAACGGGGAAGAUAAUGACGGUACCCGUAGAAUAAGCCCCGGCUAACUUCGUGCCAGCAGCCGCGGUAAUACGAAGGGGGCUAGCGUUGCUCGGAAUCACUGGGCGUAAAGGGUGCGUAGGUGGAUCUUUAAGUCAGGGGUGAAAUCCUGGAGCUCAACUCCAGAACUGCCUUUGAUACUGAGGAUCUUGAGUUCGGGAGAGGUAAGUGGAACUGCGAGUGUAGAGGUGAAAUUCGUAGAUAUUCGCAAGAACACCAGUGGCGAAGGCGGCUUACUGGCCCGAUACUGACACUGAGGCACGAAAGCGUGGGGAGCAAACAGGAUUAGAUACCCUAGUAGUC
rnacentral:rRNA from 1 species